UGUAAGCGUAUACCAAAGUUGUUGCAGUUAAAACGCUCGUAGUCGGAAUUUGGCAGUUCCAGAUGUGUGCACGUCGUGUGCGCACUUCGCGGGGAUUGCUUUUGUGGUCUUGCGUAGGAUGAGGCACUUUUAUUAGUGAACGUCCUCACGCAACCACUUUUUACUGUGAGAAAAUCAGAGUGCUCAAAGCAGGCAUUUGCCGUGAAUGUAUUAGCAUGGAAUAAUAGAAUAGGACUUGGUUCUAUUUUGUUGGUUUGUUGGGACUGAGUAAUGAUUAAGAGGGACAGUUGGGGGCACUUGUAUUUCGGUGCUAGAGGUGAAAUUCUUAGAUUACCGAAAGACAAACUGCUGCGAAAGCGUCUGCCAAGGAUGUUUUCAUUGA
rnacentral:rRNA from 1 species